rnacentral:rRNA from 1 species
AUUGAACGCUGGCGGCAUGCCUUACACAUGCAAGUCGAACGGCAGCACGGGAGCAAUCCUGGUGGCGAGUGGCGAACGGGUGAGUAAUAUAUCGGAACGUGCCCAGUCGUGGGGAUAACGUAGCGAAAGUUACGCUAAUACCGCAUACGAUCUACGGAUGAAAGCGGGGGACUCGCAAGAGCCUCGCGCGAUUGGAGCGGCCGAUAUCAGAUUAGGUAGUUGGUGGGGUAAAGGCUCACCAAGCCAACGAUCUGUAGCUGGUCUGAGAGGACGACCAGCCACACUGGAACUGAGACACGGUCCAGACUCCUACGGGAGGCAGCAGUGGGGAAUUUUGGACAAUGGGCGAAAGCCUGAUCCAGCAAUGCCGCGU